UCCCAUGGGCCUGCACACUGGGAGAACAGGGUGGAGCCAGGGAAAGUUUGUGCCGUUUGCAGUGGGGAGGAGCCUGGCCUCUCCUUUCCUGUGUAGUGGCCUGGGAUUCAAUCUGUGAGUCCUGUUAGCAGGACUGCGUCUUGCUUUGCUGAGUUUUUUUUUUUUUUCCUUUUUUGCCCAAUAAUAUCCUGCUCUACUCACCCUUCAGUGUGUCGUCUGUGUGCCUAAAUUUUCCUGGUCUUGUGACAAGAACCAGAGUUUAGGGGAACUAAGGAGCAAUGCUCUGCAACAGCUUUUAAAAGUCCUACCAUAUAAUCUAUCCUAGAGGAUAUUUCAUGUACAGUUGAACAUGAGG
rnacentral:lncRNA from 1 species